UCACUCUUUUUCCUUCAGUUCUAUCAUGGUGUUCAAAAAUGGUACGAGGGCUUCCUCGUUUUCUUCAUGUUAUCCCCAUUUCUUGGUUCAUUCUCUCUUUUUUUCACUUCUAUAAAUUUGUUUCUCUUUCUCCAAUUAAAACCUUAAAAAAGGUACAAAUUUUUUACUCAUUUUAAGGGAAAAUCCUCUUUUUAAUUCUCACUCGUACCAAUCACAAAAUAAAUAAAAAAACUUAAAAAAAUGAAGAUGAUUCUUGAUCUUGUGCAGUUUUGUUAGUUUUCAUUAUUUCAUUCCCUACUUUUUUUUUCAAAAUUCCUAUUUUAGUUGUGUCUCACAUACACAAU
rnacentral:lncRNA from 1 species